GAGGAGAAGUCGUCAAUUUGCAGGUUCUGUAAUGUCAUUAGUAUGCCCCAGGCUUGGAGACGUUUGGCUGGUGUUUUCAAUCUCGUGAACAGGAACAUUCGGGGAGUCCGGAUUUAUUAACGGCAGUGAAGGCAAACCCUGCAAAUUACUAACAUUUCUCUGUACUUCGUGCGAGGCGUCCGUUAAGUCAACAUAUUCAGUCAAAUCAACUGAUGUGUCAGUUGGUAUGAGGAGACAAAGAGGCACCGUCGACCCGUUUUGGUACGCAGAAGCAAUCACGUCACAGACAUCGGAUCUGUGUUCAUUACGCAGUGUAGUAAAUAUGUCAGUUUGAUGUAAUGCAUUAUUAGAACGUGAAUUAAAUUGACUGUUAUUGGAA